rnacentral:lncRNA from 1 species
UUGAGUGUUCUUAAAAUUAUCAGUUGUUAACUUAUCUCAAUAUAUGCAUACGAAUUUAACAUAUUAAUAGAUACCUCUGAAAACAUGUUUCGUGUUUUGUGUAUUUUGUAUCAUGAACUUUUGUGUAUUUUGUAUCACACUUGAUGAUUGAGUGUAUUUUUCUUAUCCUUUUUUAAAUGUACAUGAGGAGUUGAUUUAUGUGAAAUUGUUUUUUACCUGUUCACUGCAGGCAUUAGCCAGACUCCCUCAAUGCUUUGUUCGCAAUUUCGGGGUCUUAAUUGAUACAUAUGUGAUUCUUCGAGAUCCUAAUCCUAAUGAGUUCGAGCAUGUUAUGAAAAAAUCUAAUGACAUGUACUUUGAUCAAGGAUGGUUGGUUCUUAGAAAUGUUUACGACAUAUGGUUUGGUGUUUGGCUUAGUUUUACUUAUGUUAAUCCUAAGCUUUUAAAUAUAACAUAAGAUGUUUAUAAUCUUUACCUCGUAUUUAUAUAAUGUGAUCCUAUUCCAUCUUCAAUAGAUUUUGUAUCUUUCUAAUAUAGAUUUCUAUAA